CUCCCUGGAAGAAGGAAAUCAGAGAUGAACAGAGACCGUGGGACCUCAAUUUCUUUCUGGAAGCAGACAUCACAGGUUCAAAUGAAAGGACAAGAAACCUACAAGCCCAUGCCCUGCUCCCUUCCAGAACAAAGGGUCAUGUACCAGGAUCUCCAGUGUCUCUCUCAGAGCCUUUACCAUCUUUUCAUAAUCUUCAUUUUGCUUCUGAGACUGGGUCAGCAGAACAGAGAGCUCAGUCACCCUAAAGAGAAGAGCAUAGCACUGUCCAUAGAACAACCCAUGGAUGUGGACAGAGCUCCGAUGUAGCACACCCCAGCCCCAACCCCAGACACUCCCAACUGCGGCCACCCUAAAAUCCCUUAGCACCCCCAGCCCCUCUGCACUCCCUGAAGACCACAUGAUGCUAUAGCCUUGAAGUGGGGAGGCAAAAAAUCACUCAGACACAUGCAGGGAUUUACCACAUCUCAAGGCUGGAACACGUGUUUGGGGGCCCGAGAGCUGAAGGAAAGCCCUGGCCCAGGCCCUUCCAGGCCUCGCUUGAUCUUGAAGUCAAGCACCCUGAAGCCAAUAAGAACAUCAGAAUUGCCACAAGGGAUAGUCCCAAGGUCCCUCCAGCCUGAGGUUCUGACUCUGAUAGGGAAAAAGGAAGGGCAAUUUGGGGAAGAUUAUGGUCAACCUUCUUGAUAUUAAACUCAAGGUCCCGCAAAAUCACCAAACACUUAACAUUAUAUCUUGGAGCUUACUGCUUGGUAAUAUGUGAGUAGCUAAAUAAAUAUUUCUUGAAUGAA